UUGUGUUCUACUGUGCUAGAAGUGAGAGAAAAUUAAUUGUAAUGUUGGCGCCCAACUGGGCCACUGUUAUGCAGUAUAUAUGUUUUAAGGCCAAAGGCGUGUAUUUGUGGGAAGACUAUGGCUCUAUAUAAACCGCACUCUCCCUCUUAUCUGGGCCGUUCCCAGUCAAGUUAUCCUACCCACCAACCUCACCCUUCAUGCAUUAUCUGUUUCAUUAUUCUCGUUGAUG